AACCAAGUUCUGCUUUGGACUCUGAAGAGACUUUUAAUUCUUGUAGGUUUUACAGACCAAUGUUACAUGUUUCCUGUCAAGUUACAUGUGAGAGAACACUGCCAGAUGUGAAGGAAGAGAGAGAGUGUCCUGUGUGUGCUGCAGUGGAUGUUUAACUUAGGGAAUGGAGCACACAUGGCCACAUGGUGGAAGGACUAUGGUUUCUCCAUCCUCACCUCCUCUUCCCAAGGGCAACUGACCUUCUCCUCUCCAAAACAGUCUAUCCAGCGUUGGAAAACAUGCUUUAAGAGAUAAGAUGGAGACCAGCAUCAUCGCGCAAUGGGUUAAGCCACCACCUUUGACAGCAGCACCCUGUACAAGGGCAGGUUUCAGUCCCAGAUGCUCUGCUUCUGAUCCAGCUCCCUGCUGAUGCCUGAAGAAAAAGCAGUGCAAGAUGGCCCAAGUACUUGGGCCCCUGCCACACAUGUGGGAGAAUGGAUGGAUUUCCAAGCUCCUGGUUUUGGCCUUGCUCAGCCCUGGGUAUUGGGGCCAUUUAGGAGUGAUGUGCCCUGAUGUUUCAUUAUGGAGGGAAAAAAGCACUCCCAGGCCACAGCAGAGAGCCGGACUGGAAGAGGAGCAACCAGGACAGAAUCUGGCGCCCGGACCGGGACUAGA